rnacentral:rRNA from 1 species
CAGCCCUAAACGAUGCGCGUUAGGUGUAUCGGUGACCACGAGCCACCGAGGUGCCGAAGGGAAACCGUGAAACGUGCCGCCUGGGAAGUACGGUCGCAAGGCUGAAACUUAAAGGAAUUGGCGGGGAGCACCACAACGGGUGGAGCCUGCGGUUUAAUUGGACUCAACGCCGGGAAGCUCACCGGAUAAGACAGCGGAAUGAUUGCCGGGCUGAAGACCCUGCAUGACCAGCUGAGAGGAGGUGCAUGGCGUGUGACUGU